AGGCUGGACCCAGCCAGCCUCAAGGAGGGAAGAGAGGGACAUCAUGGUGGCGCUGGACUCCCUGCAGGGCUCAGCGGCUCCCUCAGGACAAGGAGAAAGCUGGGAACCCUAAGACAGAACUGGAGGUUCUCGUUGCCUAAAUCUCUCCUGGCUUGCUGCACAUGGAACCCAUUUCUUCCCAUUCAGGGCUCUGCAGAGGCAGAAGAUGAACAGUAAGAUGCAAAGAUCUGGCAACCUUCAGAGCUGGGUCCCUGGGGCCUCUGCAGAACCACCCAGAAGCCCCAAAUUGUGACAUCACCAGUUCAACAGCCUUCCCCACUCCCAUCACUUCCUGAAACAGCCAGAGCGAGAAGAUGAUGCAUGUGAGCCCUGCCCUUGGGAAGCUUCCAGGUUGGGAAAUGAGGAAUGAGCCUGACACCCAGGGCCCAGAGAGACCCAGGACAGAGGCAGGUCAGGAGGCAGACACGCGCUGCUGGGUAAUGACGACAGCACCAGUAAUCACGGCUACUCCUUGUUAAGUACUUACUAAGUGCAAGACUCCAAGCUAAGCAAUUAAUAGACCUUUUCUUGUUUAAUCCUUACCACAAUUCCAUAGGGUUGAGUAGGAAGUCCUUCUUGAAGUCUAAUCUCAAGAAUUCAUGCCAUGGAUUGGGCCAAUGUUCCACCUUUAUUGGAGUCUGGGGACUUAGGUGGAAAAGGCAGAACUGGCUGGUUGGAGGAGCCACCUCCCUGCAAGGGGCCAGGAGGGAGAUUACGGAGGCGCCAAGCCCAGAGCUCCAACAUGCACCUGCCACAGCUCCAGGGGAGAUCGGGGGCCUGCCAAUUUACCCCGCCCCAUGAUCUCAUGGCUGUGUGCGCCAGGCACUGGCUCAGGGAGCAGCAUCUCACAGAGAAGAUACUUGGAUGGGCCACAGGCCAAAACUGGGCCAAAACCCUGGAGAGGGGGACCUGGCUCAAGGCCACACCACAUUUCCAUGUCAUUUUCCAGUGGCACCAACUGAGCUGGACAGAUGUUCUCACAGAGCUACACAUGCCACAGUCAUCACUAGUUGCGAGAGUCUCCAGUGUUCAUUAAGCCUAUUUUGCUGGAAGUUUAGUCCCUGGAGGAUUAGUCCCUGCCCUUAAGGAGUGCCAAAGAAGACUUUGGAAUCUAAGUCACAUCUCCCCUGCUGCAAUUUUUUCCUCUUGAUAAUCAAGGAAUCUCACUGAUAAAACUCUCAAUGAGGAGCAGCUCUCCCCAUGAGCAAGUUCUUGCCUUCAUUGCCAGGGAGGCCCCAGCUAAGGUUAUACUGGGAAAGGAAUCUCUGGGGAGUACCUGGAAGAGGUCAGCUUCUCCUCAAAGGAAGCCUCUCCAGCUGGUGUACUGCAAAGCCUUCCAAGACCAAGUUCCCUCUUCCUGGCCUCUGGAACCAGCCUGUGUGCCAGCGCUGUGUCCCCAGUAACACACAUGAGUCUCUCCCUCAGAAGCCACAGAAGGAUGCAGAGAGAGACCAACCCAGGAUUGAUUCUCAGCACUUACUAAUUGUGUGGACAUAACUGCUCUGGACCUCAGCUUUGCUAUCUAUAAAAUGAGCACCCUUUUUAUAGAUAUGAACACUUUAAGAGAGUCAUAAAGAUUGAAGUUGAUUUGUGCU
rnacentral:lncRNA from 1 species